rnacentral:rRNA from 1 species
UACGUAGGGGGCAAGCGUUGUCCGGAUUUAUUGGGCGUAAAGAGCGUGUAGGCGGUCAGGUAGGUCCGUUGUGAAAUCCCGAGGCUCAACCUCGGGUCUGCAGUCGAUACGAGCAAACUAGAGUGUUGCAGGGGAGACUGGAAUUCCUGGUGUAGCGGUGAAAUGCGCAGAUAUCAGGAGGAACACCGGUGGCGAAGGCGGGUCUCUGGGCAACAACUGACGCUGAGGAGCGAAAGCGUGGGGAGCGAACAGG